AACAAACGCUGGCGGCGUGUCUUAAGCAUGCAAGUUGAGCGGCAAGGAGGAGAGAUCCUCCCUAGAGCGGCGGACUGGUGAGUAACGCGUGGGUAAUCUAUCGUAGGCAUGGGGAUAGUCACUAGAAAUAGUGGGUAAUACCGAAUACGUUCCAUGAGGGGAGUAUUCAUGGAAGAAAGGGUGCUACGGCACUGGCCUUAGGUGAGCUCGCGUCCCAUUAGCUAGUUGGUGGGGUAACGGCCUACCAAGGCGACGAUGGGUAGCCGGCCUGAGAGGGUGUACGGCCACACUGGGACUGAGACACGGCCCAGACUCCUACGGGAGGCAGCAGUGGGGGAUAUUGCGCAAUGGGGGAAACCCUGACGCAGCGACGCCGCGUGAGCGAUGAAGGCCUUCGGUCGUAAGCUCUGUCCCUCGGGACGGAAGUUAAGUGACGGUACCGUCGGGGAGGGAAGGCCCCGGCCUAACUACGUGCCACGCAGCCGCGGUAAGACUACGUAGA
rnacentral:rRNA from 1 species